GAUAGAGCACUCCAUGGGGCAGCAUGGCAAGCUGCAGGACUUCUUGCUCCGGGGCCUGGGCCACAUCUCCCCUCCUCUUGCAGUAGGGGGACUGAGAGGGACCACGUUCACAUCGGUGAAGCCCGCUGGCUUUGUUUUGUCACACAUGACAGCAGUGGGAGUUGUGCUUUGCAGCUCAUCUGUAAGGCGGAUGGGAAACGCUAGGCUGCAUGGCUCCGCUGGGACUGCAUCAGGGACACGAGACGCUUUGCUUCAGUUACAGGAAGCUCACGAGAGAGGCCGUGUCAAUAAGAGCAAUGGCUGUAGUGCCUGUCACGACCGCACGCCUUUCUCAGGAAUAGAGAACGAAGGCUGGAAGCUCUCCUGCUGCCUCUGCCAGAAGUGGUGUCAGGUUCCGCGUGUCCCCUGUGAUGUGACCAAGCAGACAGCGCAGAAGAAUAAAUAACAAAAAUGCUUAACUGUGCUGUGCUGAUAGGAGGGCAGACUUCCAUCACCCAGAGACUGCAUUCCGAGGCAGAAGCCAUGCUGCCAGAGCUGCUCACCUUCUGGCAGGGAUCUGGCCCGUGCUUACCUGCUCUGGCAACACCCACUGCCUUCCUGCAGGCACUGGGGCAGACUGUGGCUCGCCAGACGUCAGACACCCCAUGUGCCAUCACAGGACUGGAGGAGGCACAGUUCUGAACAGUAAAUGCCAGCAAAGGGAAGAGGAGCUGGACGGGUGGGCAGAGUAUUUGUUAUCAUCUCAAUUAAGGCCCUCUUGUCAUUGUAACGUGAACAUCUGAUCCAUCUACAAAGCUGUAGUAACGGUUCGUAAAAGCACAGCUUCUCUC
ensembl:lncRNA